rnacentral:rRNA from 2 species
AGGUGUGAUCAUACCAGCACUAAUGCACCGGAUCCCAUCUAGAACUCCGCAGUUAAGCGUGCUUGGGCGAGAGUAGUAUUAGGAUGGGUGACCUCCAGGGAAGUCCCCGUGGCUCGUUCG